rnacentral:tRNA from 1 species
CAGGGGGUAUUUUAUAUAAAAUAUUAGUUUUGGGGAUUAAUGAAAUGGCUUUGCUUUUCCCCUGA